rnacentral:rRNA from 1 species
CCUACGGGAGGCAGCAGUAGGGAAUCUUCGGCAAUGGACGGAAGUCUGACCGAGCAACGCCGCGUGAGUGAAGAAGGUUUUCGGAUCGUAAAGCUCUGUUGUAAGAGAAGAACGAGUGUGAGAGUGGAAAGUUCACACUGUGACGGUAUCUUACCAGAAAGGGACGGCUAACUACGUGCCAGCAGCCGCGGUAAUACGUAGGUCCCGAGCGUUGUCCGGAUUUAUUGGGCGUAAAGCGAGCGCAGGCGGUUAGAUAAGUCUGAAGUUAAAGAGUGUGGCUCAACCAUACGAUGCCGUUGAAACUGGUGGUCUUGAGUGCACACAGGGAUGCUGGAACUCGUGGUGUAGCGGUGAAAUGCUUAGAUAUCACGAUGAACUCCGAUCGCGAAGGCAGGUGUCCGGGGUGUAACUGACGCUGAGGCUCGAAAGUGUGGGUAUCAAACAGGAUUAGAUACCCUGGUAGUCCACACAGUAAACGAUGAAUACUCGCAGUUUGCGAUACACUGUAAGCUGCCAAGCGAAAGCAUUAAGUAUUCCACCUGGGGAGUACGCCGGCAACGGUGAAACUCAAAGGAAUUGACGG